AAAGAAAAGUGUGAAAAUUCAAGAAUCAAGUGACAAAAGGUGGUGAAUCCUCUGCUAAGGGUAAAGAAAUUGUACCCGAGAAUCGGUAGUCAGAGUACUCUAGAAAUUCGACUCCCGAAAUAGCACAGAAUAGGCUAUAGAUAGUUGAUUUUCAUCGAGGGCUACCAUUGGAGUUGCAUCCUCCAAACUGUAGGUUCACAAUCCUCCUUACUUUUGGUUA